rnacentral:rRNA from 1 species
GAUGAACGCUGGCGGCGUGCUUAACACAUGCAAGUCGAACGGUGAAAGAAGAGCUUGCUCUUCUGGAUCAGUGGCGAACGGGUGAGUAACACGUGAGUAACCUGCCCCAGACUCUGGGAUAAGCACUGGAAACGGUGUCUAAUACCGGAUACGAGCUUCAGCCGCAUGGCUAGGAGCUGGAAAGAACUUCGGUCUGGGAUGGACUCGCGGCCUAUCAGCUAGUUGGUGAGGUAAUGGCCCACCAAGGCGACGACGGGUAGCCGGCCUGAGAGGGUGACCGGCCACACUGGGACUGAGACACGGCCCAGACUCCUACGGGAGGCAGCAGUGGGGAAUAUUGCACAAUGGGCGCAAGCCUGAUGCAGCAACGCCGCGUGAGGGACGACGGCCUUCGGGUUGUAAACCUCUUUUAGUAGGGAAGAAGCGAAAGUGACGGUACCUGCAGAAAAAGCACCGGCUAACUACGUGCCAGCAGCCGCAGUAAAAC